UGGGGUAUAGCUCAAUGAUAGAAUGCUUGCCUAGCAUGUGUGAGGCCCUGGAUUCAAACCCAGAACCCCAC
rnacentral:tRNA from 1 species